AGAGUUUGAUCCUGGCUGAGGAUGAACGCUAGCGGCAGGCCUAAUACAUGCAAGUCGAACGGGUGCCAGCGAUGGCACUAGUGGCGGACGGGUGCGUAACGCGUAACCAACCUGCCCAAAACUGGGGGAUAGCCCGCCGAAAGGCGGAUUAAUACCGCAUAAGCUCUGCUCUUGGCAUCGGGAGCUUAGUAAAGGUUCAUUGGUUUUGGAUGGGGUUGCGUGCCAUUAGCUGGUUGGGGGGGUAACGGCCCACCAAGGCGACGAUGGCUAGGGGAGCUGAGAGGCUGGUCCCCCACACGGGCACUGAGACACGGGCCCGACUCCUACGGGAGGCAGCAGUAGGGAAUAUUGGGCAAUGGAAGAGAUUCUGACCCAGCCAUGCCGCGUGCAGGACGAAGGCUUUCUGAGUCGUAAACUGCUUUUAUCAGGGAAGAAUAAGGUUCUUGCGUGGGCCGACGACGGUACCUGAGGAAUAAGCACCGGCUAACUCCGUGCCAGCAGCCGCGGUAAUACGGAGGGUGCGAGCGUUGUCCGGAUUUAUUGGGUUUAAAGGGUGCGUAGGCGGCCGGGUAAGUCUGGGGUGAAAGCCCGCUGCUCAACAGCGGAACUGCCCCGGAUACUGCCGGGCUUGAGGACAGGCGAGGUUGGCGGAAUGGAGGGUGUAGCGGUGAAAUGCAUAGAUACCCUCCAGAACCCCGAUUGCGAAGGCAGCUGACUAGGCUGUACCUGACGCUGAGGCACGAAAGCGUGGGGAGCGAACAGGAUUAGAUACCCUGGUAGUCACGCCGUAAACGAUGGAUACUCGCCGCGGGCGCCACACGGUCCGUGGCUGCGCGAAAGCAUUAAGUAUCCCACCUGGGGAGUACGCCCGCAAGGGUGAAACUCAAAGGAAUUGACGGGGGCCCGCACAAGUGGUGGAGCAUGUGGUUUAAUUCGAUGAUACGCGAGGAACCUUACCUGGGCUAGAAUGCGCGCGACCGGUCCGGAGACGGGCCUUUCCUUCGGGACGCAAAGCAGGGUGCUGCAUGGCCGUCGUCAGCUCGUGCCGUGAGGUGUUGGGUUAAGUCCCGCAACGAGCGCAACCCCUACAGUUAGUUGCCAGCGCGUCAAGGCGGGGACUCUAGCUGGACUGCCUGCGCAAGCAGCGAGGAAGGCGGGGACGACGUCAGGUCACCUUGGCCCUUACGCCCAGGGCUACACACGUGCUACAAUGGGCGGUACAGCGGGUUGCCACGGCGCGAGCCGGCGCCAAUCCCUGAAAGCCGUUCUCAG
rnacentral:rRNA from 1 species